AGCGGCGUAAGGGGCAGUAAUACCUGGGAACGUACCCGGAGGUCGGGGAUAGCUGCUGGAAACGGCGAGUAAUACCCGAUGAUCUUGGAAAAGCAAAGGCUUGCCGCCUUCGGAGCGGCCCAGGCGAUAUUAGCUAGUUGGUGAGGUAACGGCUUACCAAGGCCAAGAUGUCUAGCGGGUGUGAGAGCACGACCCGCGCCACUGGCACUGAGACACUGGCCAGACACCUACGGGUGGCUGCAGUCGAGAAUCUUCGGCAAUGAGCGCAAGCUUGACCGAGCGACGCCGCGUGCGGGAUGAAGGCCUUCGGGUUGUAAACCGCUUUGGUCCGAGAGAAAGGGCAACUUGAUCGAUCGGAGAAACAAGGACGGGCUAAGUUCGUGCCAGCAGCCGCGGUAAGACGAACCGUCCAAACGUUAUUCGGAAUCACUGGGCUUAAAGGGCGCGUAGGCGGCCGAGCGGGUCGCGGGUGAAAUCCUCCAGCUUAACUGGAGAACUGCCCUCGAUACCACUGCGGCUCGAGGAAGGAAGGGGUCAUGGGAACUGUCGGUGGAGCGGUGAAAUGCGUUGAUAUCGACAGGAACGCCUGUGGCGAAAGCGCAUGACUGGUCCUUUUCUGACGCUGAGGCGCGAAAGCCAGGGGAGCAAACGGGAUUAGAUACCCCGGUAGUCCUGGCCUUAAACGAUGAGAACUAGGUAG
rnacentral:rRNA from 1 species